GCAAGUCGAACGGUAACAUUUCUAGCUUGCUAGAAGAUGACGAGUGGCGGACGGGUGAGUAAUGCUUGGGAACUUGCCUUUGCGAGGGGGAUAACAGUUGGAAACGACUGCUAAUACCGCAUAAUGUCUACGGACCAAACGGGGCUUAGGCUCCGGCGCAAAGAGAGGCCCAAGUGAGAUUAGCUAGUUGGUAAGGUAAAGGCUUACCAAGGCAACGAUCUCUAGCUGUUCUGAGAGGAAGAUCAGCCACACUGGGACUGAGACACGGCCCAGACUCCUACGGGAGGCAGCAGUGGGGAAUAUUGCACAAUGGGGGAAACCCUGAUGCAGCCAUGCCGCGUGUGUGAAGAAGGCCUUCGGGUUGUAAAGCACUUUC
rnacentral:rRNA from 1 species